AGAUCAUAUCAUUUACUGUCAUGAGGACUCAGUACCUUCUUGUUUACCACAAGCUUGUGUAUGCAAUCACAUGGAAUGUUUCAAACAAAGCUGAGCUGCAAUUACAAGUCAACAAAAUAUGACUGUUUAUAACCCUAGUAGUGUCCACCUCUGAAACUGUCACACUACACCAGGGUAACAGUGACCCUCAAUUAUUUUUUGCAGAAACUGACUGGAAAUAGAGGAUUUUAAAAUUAAAUUGGACUCUCAUGUA